GUAGGGAAUCUUGCGCAAUGGGGGAAACCCUGACGCAGCGACGCCGCGUGAGUGAUGAAGGACUUCGGUUCGUAAAGCUCUGUCGCAUGGGAAUAAUCUUGAAGGUACCAUGUAAGAAAGGAUCGGCUAACUUCGUGCCAGCAGCCGCGGUAAGACGAGGGAUCCAAGCGUUGUUCGGAAUCAUUGGGCGUAAAGCGGACGUAGGCGGCUUUUCAAGUCGGAUGUGAAAUCCCUGGGCUUAACCCAGGAAGUGCAUUCGAUACUGUUAAGCUUGAGUGUGGGAGAGGCUAGUAGAAUUCCUGGUGUAGUGGUGAAAUACGUAGAUAUCAGGAGGAACACCGGUGGCGAAGGCGGCUAGCUGGCCCAACACUGACGCUGAGGUCCGAAAGCGUGGGGAUCAAACAGGAUUAGAUACCCUUGUAGUCC
rnacentral:rRNA from 1 species